CGUGUAGGCGGUUUGUUAAGUCUGGUGUGAAAGCCCUGGGCUCAACCUGGGAAGUGCAUUGGAUACUGGCAAACUUGAGUACGGGAGAGGAUAGUGGAAUUUCGAGUGUAGGGGUGAAAUCCGUAGAUAUUCGAAGGAACACCGGUGGCGAAGGCGGCUAUCUGGACCGAUACUGACGCUGAGACGCGAAAGCGUGGGGAGCAAACA
rnacentral:rRNA from 2 species